GACGAACGCUGGCGGCGUGCCUAAUACAUGCAAGUGGGACGCAAGGAAACACACUGUGCUUGCACACCGUGUUUUCUUGAGUCGCGAACGGGUGAGUAACGCGUAGGUAACCUGCCUAUUAGCGGGGGAUAACUAUUGGAAACGAUAGCUAAUACCGCAUAAUAUUAAUUAUUGCAUGAUAAUUGAUUGAAAGAUGCAAGCGCAUCACUAGUAGAUGGACCUGCGUUGUAUUAGCUAGUUGGUAAGGUAAGAGCUUACCAAGGCGACGAUACAUAGCCGACCUGAGAGGGUGAUCGGCCACACUGGGACUGAGACACGGCCCAGACUCCUACGGGAGGCAGCAGUAGGGAAUCUUCGGCAAUGGACGAAAGGCUGACCGAGCAAAGCCGCGUGAGUGAAGAAGGUUUUCGGAUCGUAAAGCUCUGUUGUAAGUCAAGAACGUGUGUGAGAGUGGAAAGUUCACACAGUGACGGUAGCUUACCAGAAAGGGACGGCUAACUACGUG
rnacentral:rRNA from 1 species